rnacentral:rRNA from 1 species
UACGUAGGGGGCAAGCGUUGUCCGGAUUUAUUGGGCGUAAAGAGCGUGUAGGCGGCCGGAUAGGUCCGUUGUGAAAACUCGAGGCUCAACCUCGAGACGCCGAUGGAAACCAUCUGGCUAGAGUCCGGAAGAGGAGAGUGGAAUUCCUGGUGUAGCGGUGAAAUGCGCAGAUAUCAGGAAGAACACCCGUGGCUAAGGCGGCUCUCUAGUACGGUACUGACGCUGAGACGCGAAAGCGUGGGGAGCGAACAGG